UAUAUUUGGGGAGUGGCAGGAAGUUCAGUGUGGCUGGAGCAUGGUGGGGCUGUCGGAAGGUGAGGAGAGAGAGAGAGAGAGAGAGAGAAGAAUGGCUGGGGCCAGGUGUUUUCUCCUAGACCAGCAGGAUGAGAAUAGGAGAAGGACCAUUAUUCCUUUACACAGGGGGAGCCGUCGGCUGCCCCAGAGGACAGAUGAGGAAACCAAGGCUUGGGAGGAGAAGCGGCGCAUCCUGUGGCACACAGUAGGUGUGACACAAGACAGCUGACUCUGGCUUCCAGGCUCUUCCCACAGAUCUGCAGAGCUUCUGCCCUCCCAGCCCCACCUGCCAGGACUAGGUCCUCUCCGCCGGCCCUGCAGCUGCGUUCUCUGCCUCUGCUCUGUGGACUGAUGCCUCACACGAGCUCCCUGGCCUCUGGCUUCUGCCUCCCCAUGCCCUCUCUUGUGAACAGUCCAUCAGGGCUGGGAGGAAAGCAGGAUGAAACCAGUUCCCAGCGAAGCAGCAUUCGCCAGCAUUUACUUCAUACCUCCCUUUAAUCAACUCACUUUUCUCUAAAAGCUUUAAAAAAAAAUGAACCUGGGUAUUUUUUAAGUAACUAUUUAGUUUAGGACAGUUUUAGAUACACAGAAAUACUGUGAAGGUAGUUCAGAGAUCAACUCACUUCUUAAACUUUAUUUUAAAAGGAAACGUUUCAUUAUUUCUACAAAUGGAAAACCAGUAUGACUUGCCUCAAGUAGACUUUAAUCUUAAAAAUGAACA
rnacentral:lncRNA from 1 species